GUGUUGAACAACACAUGGCAAGUGAUGGAGUAUAAAAAGUAGGCAUUUUGAAGACUAAUGCUCACAAAACAAUGCAGGUAUUUCUGGAUCAACUCUUAUGACAAUGAGUGAAAUAUUCUAAUCUUCUAUUAUAACAUUAGUCCUGCUAAAAUGUUAACAGUGCCUAAAGCUUUUAACACCACUCACAGUAUGGGAGAGAGUGGUGUGUUUGGUUUUAUCAUGGCCUUGGAUGUCAUGUGAAAGGAGAACAAGCCAAACAUUCAUCAGGAGCUCUAACAGCAUAACUCACUGACUACAUAAUCACAUUAGCGAUCAUGUAUGACUCAAAGGUCUGAGGAGGAAAACAGCCCAAUGAUUCCUCCUCCUGACUUCCUCAUACACUGAAGUGUCAAUAUAGUUGGGCAAAUGCAGCUAAAUACACCUACAGCCUGUUUAAAAUGCCUGUAAAUAACACAAAUAUAGGUAGUUACAUCUUAAAGUGCCAGAGUAACAUACAAAUGCUGUAAGAGCCCUACAUAUUACUAUUAUGUAACUACUCAUACACUCUAUGUCUGUGCUGCCAUAAAAAGAAAACUUCUUUGAAAAACUUUACACUUUAUUUAAAGGGAAAACAAACAAAAACAAAAGCAAUGCAACAAAGUGAAAGAGCUCAGCUGUAGUGGAGUUCAUCUUUACCUAUAAAUGCUGAAUUUUAUUUGGAAAAUAUGCUGCAAUUAAACUGUCUGCAAAGUGUUCCUUGCAUAACAUAAUCCCAACUGAACUGUGUCCCCUGACAGUCCAUCAAGGUUAUCACUACUGAGACUUUUGUGUUACAGUUAAGUGCCUUCAGUUUUCAUGGAACAGUAUGCAGCUUCUUCAUUGAAAGAAAAAAGCUGUAAUUCUACUCAAUAGGACACAAGAUUGAAUGGUUUUCGGAUGCUUUCAGUUGACUACUGUAACUCAGUAAAUAUUUUAUUUGUUUUUGAUGAACAUUCUAAAAACUUCUUGGUAAAAUGUCCUAGAGAUAAAUAUAAAAGAAAGUGCCCUCUAGAGGCUCUCCCAGUUGAUAAAACGUACAUACAGUGCCCUUUAAAAGCCUUUUUAGUUAACUAUAUGUAAACAAAGUUGUGUAUGGAUCCCUUUUAGUUGAUACGAAUCAUAUUGUCCAGUGGAUGUCUUUGCAGCUUAUAAAAUGUGAAAAAAGAGCCCCCUUGGUGCCUUUGAGUUGAUAAAACAUAAUCAGUGCCCUUCAAAAUGAUAAAACAUCAUACUGCUUGACCUUCCAGUUGGUAGAAUGUAAACAAAGUGCCCUUACAGUCUGAAAUGUAAGCAGCGACAUCUGGAAGCUCUUCACAUUCAAAGUAUGUAAACAAAGCUUGGUCUGGAUGCCCUACCAGCAGAUCAAAUGUGAACAAAGUACCCUCUUAUGUCAAACAGUUGGUAAACAAAGUGCCUCCUACGUUCCCAGGUGCUCUCGAUAAAUGCCUGGAUGCCCUUCCAGUCGAUGCACUGUAGAGUGCCUUCAGGUUUAUGACUUCAGUUUUAAAUUAUAUUUAACCUUUUUUUAUAUAUAUAUAUACAUAUUUUUAUGGCUUGCUCGAAUGCUGUACAUAAGAAUACACAGAAAUGGAUGCAAAACCUGCAAACAAACCAAGAGGUGCUGCUGCGGUCAGAGAGUAAAAGGUUCAUAAGUCCUGCCUAAAUAGACUCAGCCUUGACUGAUUCCAGGGGCCUAUUCUAUGAAGCAGGAUUACUGCUUAGCGAGGGUAAGUUCGAGGUUUCCUGUUCUACGACGCGGGUUCACUUCUUAGCGAGGCGAGUCUCCAUGGCAACAUACGCUGAACGGCUAACCUGCUUUGGGGCAGGUUAGGUUCCAGAUUGAGCUCACUGAGUAUAAAAACCCCGCCCACUGACCAAUGAGCUCUCUCAAAAAAUGGCUUGUCCGUUCUUGGAAGAUCCUAUAGACCUCGGUGCUCACAUUAUCCGAGGAGCACUCUGGCGCGCGAGAGUUUUAAGGGAACGCACGGACCCACUUACCUUUCCGGAUGACCACCUUUAUGAAAGGCUCAUAUGGCUUACAUAUCACAAAAAAAUGUAAACACGAUAGGAAUGAACAAAUGAAUGAAUUCAUCUUGGAAAUGAAUUAGACAUGUCUGGUGCAUGUUAAAAGCACGUUGAACAGUGCUAUUUCAGGGUGAUAAUGGCAUCUAAGAUUUUUUGCGCACUAUACUUACGCAUUGAGACUGUCGGCAAUUUUCCAGCAGCAUUCCUUCUGUGCUUUUGCAGCGGCGACGGUGUUGCUUUUGAGGUUUAUGAUAGAUUUGAAUUCUUCAUACUUUCUCAUGAUCGUCUCCUGCUCCUCGUUUGUAAAGUACGCAGUCCUUCGCUCUCCGGCCUGCUCUGACGCUCCAGACUGUUCGCAAUUGGUCAGAUGUGGCGGGCUCCGCCUUACAUGCGUGCAUGCGCUCAUAGCAAAGCUGGAUCCACUUACGAGGUUGAUAACCAGCGUCGUAAGACCAUUUAGUGAGACCGCUGGCUACCGCGUUAAGUUGAGCUCCAAGACUACCUGGCUCGGUUGAACUUGCUUCGUAGAAUAGACCCCUGGUGUUUCCAACUCCAAACAAUCAGGCCAGAAAACAACACAAGAAACAGACACACCAAAACAGGAGGAAACCCUGACAUAACACUGCCUUAUAUUUGGACAAGGCAAGCGCUAAAAUAACUUUCGUAGAUGUAGCCAUCUUGCUUCCGCCUCCAAUUUUGCUUUUUUCCAACUUGGUAACUGAAAUGCUGGUAACUCUGGUGUGAUAUCAUUUUCAGCUCGGACUUCUGACUUCCGAGGUAAGUCGAACGCAGCAUAAUACCUCUUCUUUAGGUCUGCUGCAUUUUUUUGUAUUCGUUAAUGAUUUUUGGUUUCCUAAAUUAUCCACCGUGAUAAUUGUGUUCUGAAAGGAUAAAUUUCUGAUUUUGUCUGAUGGCUUUGAAGAGAAUGAGAAAAAUAUCACCAGCUAAACUUUUCCUGUUCACAUGUCAUUAAACCCGGCCUUUCACUAAAUACUGUUUAAUGUGGCUGCAAACAAUUAUUUAAUCAGAACCAAUCCCAAACCAAAAACGGGUUUAGGAACAUUGAGCUGAUAUUAGAAUAACAAAGCCUCAGCAGUUUGAGAUGCAGCUAGUUGAAAAGUUAAAACUUUAAGAAACAAAAAUCUGAGUUUGAACGAGUGCGUCAAAUAAUGUGCUCAGGAAGUGCACAGAGUUGCAUAUUACUUCCUGAACAGCUUAGGGGAGAAUAUUUGCAAAAGAUUAGAGGGAAAGUGUUGUUCUCAGCUGUUCUUGAAACGCUUCAGGUUGAUGUUAUGAAUAUGAUCUCUGCCUCUGUAAUCAGACACUCAGACUUUGAGGCUGAUUUUAAGCAGCAUUGAACUGUACAGGAUGUGCGACAGUGAGUUUAGUGGAGGCGUGUGCUGAUGGUCAGUAAAUAUUGUGAGGUGUAAAUCCGGCUAGGUGCUAUUUCAGGGACUCUUAACUAUCCAAAGCAAAGUCCACUUCCAUGGAGUGUGUUGUUGUAAUUAACUGGGUCGGCCUGUACCAGAGAAACUAUUUCAGUCCUCAGCCCAAUUUGCUACUUUUCAAUACUGGAGUCUUUCAUGCCUCGCAGUCCAGUGGAAAAAUAUUCAAAACACACACACACAUACACACGCAAUUAUUCACACACUCACACAGUUCCACAUGACUAGCUGGGCUCUCUGGGAUAAACAGGCCCACAGAUGGUCUGGUGUCACACCAUCUGGGAGACUCCCAGGGUGUGGGGUGUUGCCUUGCUGUGACUCCAUCUUGUCUGUUCCAGAGCUAGCUCUCCCCCCGUUUCAGAGAUACACGCCUGACACGAGCUUCACGUAAUCUCCCUCUCUCUCUCUCUCUCACUCUCACUCUCUCCCCUGCAGGGCUGUGCACUCUGCAUACACAACCUGUGUUUGUUCUGGAGGGUGUUCCUGAGCUGAGCUGUGGAUAAAUACAGUUUGAGACUGUAAGAAAGGAAACUUAUUGGAGUUCAGGGUGGUCUAAUUAACCUCAUUUUCAUAUUUAAUACACUAUCUUUAUUACAAUGUUUAAGAUUAAAGGAACAUUUCGAGAUUUUUCAUCAAUGUGCUUGCUCUUAAACAUUUCCCUGUAUGCUGAGAACUAAGGCUGCCAUGAUAUAUACUGUAAUUAUUGUGGCUGUAAAAUGCAUUAAGUGUUAUGAGUGAUUUAACAUCUGUGUUUUAGAAAAUAUUUUAGUCUAUUUAAUUUUUUUUUUUCAUUUUUAAAGGUUUUUACUUUUUAGAUCAGUUACGAACUUUUUAAAAGUUUAAAAAUAUAUUGUUUUGAAUUGUUUUUUCAUUUUACACAAUAUACUAAUGUUCAUGUAUGUUUUUGUCAAAAAGUGUUUUUGCAUUUCACAAAUUUUUUUGUGUUUUUGAAAACUUUUUUGAGUAAAAUGAUGAUCUAAAACGUUUUUGCAUCUCACAAAAAAACUUUUGUUUAACUUCCCAAAAUAUUCAUUAAUUUUGAGAUUUUUUUUUGUGGUCUGUAAAAUGUUUUUCAUGGCCUUGAUGAAGGUUUGUGUGAUUGGCCUCCAGGGCCACCACAGUUUUGUUGGUGCAAUGCUAAGAGCUAUGUUCUUCAAACUUUGCGGAUUUUUGUCUAACCUCGUUCAGCUGAUUGCAGAGUAACGCCACUGUGUAUCCUCCUCUAACUCAUAGCAGACAGCAAACUAGCCUAAAUAUAUGAUUUGAAAGACUGUUAGGCAAUAAUCAUUUGAAUACAUUAACCCAUAACAACAGUUGGGCUGUCUGGGGGUUUAAACAGGAUAAACAGAAUAAUUAUUUGGUCUAAUAUUUACUUUGUCUCCUGGUUAUUAUGUCAAGACUCUGCGUCACAUCUGCUCCCUAAUAUUAGACGACUACUUAUAGACCAACACAUAAUACUGGUUUAGCUGGUUUAAAGAUAGAACAAUAUUGCUUGAGCAAACCGUCCUGCACGUCAUCAUGCUUAUGAUCUUUAUACUGUCUCUAAGGAUCCACUAUGAGACCAAAAUCUCAACAAAAGUUCAGAUGGCUGAUGAUGACGAUUGUAGCAUCUGGUGAAAAGGAUAUUUCGGUCUUUUAAAGGUGCAGUUUGUUAUAUUUGGCUGCAUUUUACCAGAACUCUCUUGGUGGAAAUGACUUAAAAUAUUGCACCGCCAUGUUUCUAUGGCACUUCAGAAUGGCCAAACUGGUAACAGUCCCAUGUGUUGGUUGUAUUUAGUGGCUGUAGAAGCAGCAGCUGU